GAUGAACGCUAGCUACAGGCUUAACACAUGCAAGUCGAGGGGCAUCACAGUGUAGCAAUACACGGGUGGCGACCGGCGCACGGGUGCGUAACGCGUAUCCAACCUUCCCGUUACUCAGGGAUAGCCUUCCGAAAGGGAGAUUAAUACCUGAUGGUGUUCAAAUUCCGCAUGUUAUUUGAACUAAGAUUUAUCGGUAACGGAUGGGGAUGCGUGACAUUAGGUAGAUGGCGGGGUAACGCCCACCAUGCCCACGAUGUCUAGGGGUUCUGAGAGGAAGGUCCCCCANACUGGAACUGAGACACGGUCCAGACUCCUACGGGAGCAGCAGUGAGGAAUAUUGGUCAAUGGCC
rnacentral:rRNA from 1 species